CCUACGGGGGGCAGCAGUGGGGAAUAUUGCACAAUGGGGGAAACCCUGAUGCAGCAACGCCGCGUGAGUGAAGAAGUAUUUCGGUAUGUAAAGCUCUAUCAGCAGGGAAGAAGAUGACGGUACCUGAAUAAGAAGCCCCGGCUAACUACGUGCCAGCAGCCGCGGUAAUACGUAGGGGGCAAGCGUUAUCCGGAUUUACUGGGUGUAAAGGGAGCGCAGACGGCAGUGCAAGUCUGGAGUGAAAGCCCGGGGCCCAACCCCGGAACUGCUCUGGAAACUGUGCGGCUAGAGUACUGGAGGGGCAGGCGGAAUUCCUAGUGUAGCGGUGAAAUGCGUAGAUAUUAGGAGGAACACCAGUGGCGAAGGCGGCCUGCUGGACAGUAACUGACGUUGAGGCUCGAAAGCGUGGGGAGCAAACAGGAUUAGAUACCCCGGUAGU
rnacentral:rRNA from 1 species